UACGGGGGGGGCAAGCGUUGUUCGGAAUUACUGGGCGUAAAGCGCACGUAGGCGGAUUGUUAAGUCAGGGGUGAAAUCCUGGAGCUCAACUCCAGAACUGCCUUUGAUACUGGCGAUCUCGAGUCCGGGAGAGGUGAGUGGAACUGGCGAGUGUAGAGGUGAAAUUCGUAGAUAUUCGCAAGAACACCAGUGGCGAAGGCGGCUCACUGGCCCGGUACUGACGCUGAGGUGCGAAAGCGUGGGGAGCAAAGCAGGAUUAAGAAACC
rnacentral:rRNA from 1 species